rnacentral:rRNA from 1 species
UGGGGAAUAUUGGACAAUGGGCGCAAGCCUGAUCCAGCCAUGCCGCGUGGGUGAAGAAGGCCCUAGGGUUGUAAACCCCUUUCAGCGGGGAAGAUAAUGACGGUACCCGCAGAAGAAGCCCCGGCUAACUCCGUGCCAGCAGCCGCGGUAAUACGGAGGGGGCUAGCGUUGUUCGGAAUUACUGGGCGUAAAGGGCGCGUAGGCGGUCUGUUGCGUCAGGUGUGAAAGCCCCGGGCUCAACCUGGGAGGUGCACUUGAUACGGGCAGGCUAGAAUCCGGGAGAGGAUGGUGGAAUUCCCAGUGUAGAGGUGAAAUUCGUAGAUAUUGGGAAGAACACCGAUGGCGAAGGCAGCCAUCUGGACCGGUAUUGACGCUGAGGCGCGAAAGCGUGGGGAGCAAACAGGAUUAGAUACCCCGGUAGUCC